AGCGAACGCUGGCGGCAGGCUUAACACAUGCAAGUCGAGCGGGCACUUUCGGGUGUCAGCGGCGGACGGGUGAGUAACGCGUGGGAACGUGCCCUCUGGUUCGGAAUAACUCAGGGAAACUUGAGCUAAUACCGGAUACGCCCUUUUGGGGUAAGGCUUGCUGCCGGAGGAUCGGCCCGCGUCUGAUUAGCUAGUUGGUGAGGUAACGGCUCACCCAGGCGACGAUCAGUAGCUGGUCUGAGAGGAUGAUCAGCCACACUGGGACUGAGACACGGCCCAGACUCCUACGGGAGGCAGCAGUGGGGAAUAUUGGACAAUGGGCGCAAGCCUGAUCCAGCCAUGCCGCGUGAGUGAUGAAGGCCUUAGGGUUGUAAAGCUCUUUUAUCCGGGACGAUAAUGACGGUACCGGAGGAAUAAGCCCCGGCUAACUUCGUG
rnacentral:rRNA from 1 species